rfam:Brachypodium distachyon strain Bd21 chromosome 1, whole genome shotgun sequence.
UUUAUACACCCUCCGUCCCAUAUUAACUGUCUCAAAUUUGUCUAAAUAUAGAUGUAUCUAUACCUAAAAUGCGUCUAGAUACAUGUAAUAUUUCGACGCUUAAUAUGGAACGGAGGGAGUAUCUU